ACGCAGCCGCGGUAAUUCCAGCUCCAAUAGCGUAUAUUAAAGUUGUUGCAGUUAAAAAGCUCGUAGUUGAAUUUCGGGAUCAAUAUUUCGGUCAUGCCGUUGGUAUGCACUGUUAUCAUUGAUUUCUCACCUUCUAAAGAACCGUAAUGCCAUUAAUUUGGUGUUACGGGGAAUUAGGACUGUUACCUUGAAAAAAUUAGAGUGUUUAAAGCAGGCUCACGCUUGAAUACAUUAGCAUGGAAUAAUGAAAUAGGACAUCCGAUUCUAUUUUGUUGGUUUCUUGGAUCGAUGUAAUGAUUAAUAGGGAUAGUUGGGGGCAUUAGUAUUCAAUUGUCAGAGGUGAAAUUCUUGGAUUUAUUGAAGACUAACUACUGCGAAAGCAUUUGCCAAGGAUGUUUUCAUUAAUCAAGAACGAAAGUUAGGGGAUCGAAGACGAUCAGAUACCGUCGUAGUCUUAACCAUAAACUAUGCCGACUAGGGAUCGGAUGAUGUUAAUUUUUAAUGACUCAUUC
rnacentral:rRNA from 1 species